UACGAAGGGGGCUAGCGUUGCUCGGAAUCACUGGGCGUAAAGCGCACGUAGGCGGACUCUUAAGUCGGUGGUGAAAUCCUGGAGCUCAACUCCAGAACUGCCUUCGAUACUGAGAGUCUCGAGUCCGGGAGAGGUGAGUGGAACUGCGAGUGUAGAGGUGAAAUUCGUAGAUAAUUCGCAAGAACACCAGUGGCGAAGGCGGCUCCAGCUGGCCC
rnacentral:rRNA from 1 species